rnacentral:rRNA from 1 species
GAACGCUGGCGGCGUGCCUAAUACAUGCAAGUCGAGCGAACAGACGAGGAGCUUGCUCCUCUGACGUUAGCGGCGGACGGGUGAGUAACACGUGGAUAACCUACCUAUAAGACUGGGAUAACUUCGGGAAACCGGAGCUAAUACCGGAUAACAUGUUGAACCGCAUGGUUCAACAGUGAAAGACGGUCUUGCUGUCACUUAUAGAUGGAUCCGCGCCGCAUUAGCUAGUUGGUAAGGUAACGGCUUACCAAGGCAACGAUGCGUAGCCGACCUGAGAGGGUGAUCGGCCACACUGGAACUGAGACACGGUCCAGACUCCUACGGGAGGCAGCAGUAGGGAAUCUUCCGCAAUGGGCGAAAGCCUGACGGAGCAACGCCGCGUGAGUGAWGAAGGUCUUCGGAUCGUAAAACUCUGUUAUUAGGGAAGAACAAAUGUGUAAGUAACUAUGCACGUCUUGACGGUACCUAAUCAGAAAGCCACGGCUAACUAC